GUUAACCCCUUAAUAUAUAUUCUCCAUAUAAUAAAGCAGAAGUCUAAUACUUGUACUCCUAUCUGUUUGGUUUGCGAGUUUGGCUCUUCUGGUACAGUU